AAUGCCACAUGAAAAAACCCGUGACGGCCUUCUCUCUGACUCCUGUAAGUUUGCCCUGGACCGGAGGAGAGCUCUGACCCUUUCACCUGAGAUCAGACGUGACAGCUGUCAGUCUGAAAGUCCUCUUAAGAUCCCCAGGAGAGUUUCCACAGCUGAGGAUGAGUGUGUGGAUACAGAGAUGUCAAAAGAUUGGAAAAAGAGCCACUCCAAGAUCCACUGGACACAAUUGGCCUCAAAUGGUACAUCCUCGCAGUCAGAUCCAAAAUCACAAAAAAACUUUGAUCAAUGGAAGGAAAUCUACAGCCGUCAAGUCAUGGUGGUCUUAGAAGAUGUCCUUCAGACAGAGAUUGGGCAGAGAUUGCUGAGAUGUGGUGGGCAGAGUUGCCAAAAGACGAACCAUUCAGAGAGCAAAAGGCAGAGUGAUCACACCUCAACAGCUGCACUCAAAGACAAGAGGAGAACCAGUCUAACAAAAAGAGAAGAGAAAGACUCUGCUGGACCAAAAGCCACUUCACCAUCCCAUAAUCAGACUGAAUCAUCUGCUGAAAAUGAAUCACGUCUACACAAAGAAAUCCAAAUUCCAAAAUCCAAACAACUGAACUCAUCACUGAAACUAUUAGAGGCAUCUGAAGUAUCAGGUAACUCUUGUUCACCCAGAGAAAGUGACUCACCACAGGCUAAACAGACCAAACCAUCUACUUUUGAAGAGAAUGAAGUAUUACUUCUUGAAGGAUCUCCACAGCAUGAGGAAGCACUUUCCUCUGGAUGUGAAUUUAUAUGCAGCCCCUCAUCACUGUUAGCAACGCGGGGUAGUCUGAAAGAGGAAAAAUCAGGUAGCGAGCAUCUAGCCAAUAAGAAAGAAAGGAGAGAAACACAAGAGAGCCCAAAAUAUGCUUCAGAAAAUAAGGAAAAUCACUUGCUCAGGAAUGGAGAGGUGGUGCAGGAAGUGGAUGGAAUGAGAGGAAGUGUGUUACGCCUCUCAGUCGGGGUUGAUGGGGAGAUCCCGGUCAAAAGAUGUCGUAUGGGCAGCCUUUCAGGUGAACAUGUUCCCAACUCAGACCCUGCCUCUGGGAGAACAGAGGGGUGGAGCUUCAUCAUAGAGUCCUCUAAGAUCAGCCCAUUUGAAUCUAUUGUUCUGUCCAGUGAAGAGGAAGAGGAAGAGGAAGGAGAGGAAAGAAAAGAGUUGAAUGCCUCUGCCCCAAAUAUCCAGCCACUGGAGGGUGCAAAAGACAUGAAUAUAGUAGAUAAAUCGAGUUCUGCUGAGAUGGAGCUGCAGCUGUCUUCCCUUCACAUGGGUGGAGUUAGUGCCCCUUGUGAGAGUAUGAAGAUCACUACAGACAAGAUCACCUUUUCAUUUAAAGAUUCUUCAGUGAACAUUUCUGUGUUGACGGCUAGUGUGUGUAAAUACAGUGUAUGGGAGGAGCCUGUACUGAAGGGGUGUGGCCUGGUUAAGGAAAACGAGGUCCCACCCCCUUAUCUGGUCUUCCUUUGGCUGUCUGAAGCCCAGGCACACCAAUUACACAAUGACCUGUCCGUCAUCCUGCCAGGCACAUGUCCAGCUGAAAGCAGUAGGUGUGUGUUGCUGUGUUUGGAUAAACCUGUAACUGGUGUUGAAAGUGCUGUCUUGGCCUCUUUAAUGGACAUAGUGGGUUUGAACCAGAACAGCUCUGAACUCCAUCCCCCCUCACACAGCCAGAAAGCCUGAAACUGCUUCAGAGCUCCCAGGAAACACACCUUCUUCAACUGCUGAUGCCUGAAACUGAUCCUCAGACCAGUACUGCUGCACAUGCAGCUGGAUCUGCUGUGAAGGUUCAGACAAAAUAUUGCAUCGUUGUAUCUUGCGUGCUUGCUUUUUUUCUUGUUUGCAAGUUAAUGUCUUUCCUGUAGUUAACUUUUAAUGUUAGUUACAAAAUUUUAGGCUAAAAAAUCCAUUUUAUGGAUUGAAUGUGUUUUCAGUCUCAGGAUUCUGAAAUUCAGUCAAUGCCAUAUUACACGCUGUGCCACAGAAGAGCUCAGGGUUCAUACAGUGUUACAUUGGCACCUACACUUGGGGCAGAAUGGACACCGUACCGACACUGUGGUUCAGCACGCAGGUAAAAAACGUUUUAUGUUUUGACAGAAAUCUCUAAUGCUCAUCAAAGCUGCAUUUAAUACAGUAAAGAGCAGUAAUAUUGGAAAAUAUUGUUACCAAUUUAGUAAAGCAGUAAUAUUGGAAAAUUAUUGUUAACAAUUAAAAAACUUUUAUGUUUUAAACCAUUUUUAAAAUAUAAUUUAUUCUGUAAUAUCAAAGCAAAAUUUUCAGCAUCAUUACUCUAGUUGUUAGUAUCUCAUGAUCCUUCAGAAUUCAUUCAAAGGUAGUGAUUUGUUGCUCAAGAAACAUUCUUUAUUUAUCAUCGUCAUGUUGUAAACAGCUUAAUAUUCUUGUGGGAACCGUGAUGCAUUUUUUCAGGAUUUUUUUGAUGAACAGCAAGUUUAAAUUUAUUUUAAGCAGAAAUAGUUUGUAACAUUAUAAAUGUCUUUACUUUCCCUUUGAUUAAUUUAAUCUGUCCUUACUGAAUAAGUGUUAAUUAAAAAAUAAAAAAAAUAAAAAAUUAAAUAGUGUUUAAACUCUCCUUGGCCUCAAAGGGUUUACACAACCCUGUUUUUACACACAUUGUCUGAACCUCAGUCCUAAUUUACUUUCAUUCAACUCUGUUUAGAUUGAUUCAGUUCCCUCCUCCACCCUCAAAGGGAGCCAUCACCGUGACGACAGAGGACCUGGAGUGUUUAGACAGUGGCGAGUUUCUUAAUGAUGUCAUUAUCGACUUCUACCUCAAGUAAGACAACCAAGGAUGGGUUUUAUACACAACGUAUCCUUGGGAAGAGUUGAAUUAGAUCCAGUCACUCCUUCACAGCUGUUUGGGAAGAAGGCACUGGGGGUUUUGACUAUCAGCAUGAAGUUUGAUCCAAUUUGCAACUUGUUCUGCUCAAGAACUGCCUAUAGGAACACUCUGAUAGUAAAAAAAAAAACUAAACAUUGCCUUGUUUUUUUUUUUUCUUACAUUACCAUUCAAAUCUUUGGGUCAAAAAGUCUUAUUAUAAUGAUUAAAUAUUAGAAUGAUUUCUUUAGGAUGAUGUCACACUGUAGACUAGAGUGAUGGCUGCUAAAAAUUCAGCUUUGCCAUAUUUUAUAAUAUAUUGCAAUAGUGUGAUUUUUAUUUUUGAACAGAUGCCAAAUGCAGCCUUGGUGUUCAUAAGAAGUGUUUUACAAAAACAUUAAAAAUUCUUACUGACUGCAGACUUUUGAACUGUAGUGUAUGUUUUUAGGUGCUUAAAUCUGAAAUCACCGUAACCCUAAAUAUGUCUACCCUAUUUACUUGCUACCAAGUGUCUCAAACACUCCUCUUUGAGUCCUCAUUGACUGCAAACUUCCCAACUGAUGUUGCAUUUUGUAUGCAUGUUUUUCAGGUAUCUUCUGGUGCAAAGGGCCCCGCAAGCAUCUGUAGACAGAUCUCAUGUUUUCAGCAGUUUUUUUUAUAAACAGCUCACACGCAGAGACAACGCUAAUGAGGACAGUACAAGCACACCGUGAGUAUUUGUUAGACAGCACACAAAUAUUCAUAUAUAGUGCUUGUGCAAUACUGAUAUAACUUUCCUUGAUAUGCGUAUACAAUGGUCUUUAUUUUUACAACUUUUGGUUGUCCAUCAGAGCUCAAGACUUCCUGUUUGUGCCUGUCAAUCAAGAGUGAGUAUUAGCAAUAUAAAUACAGUUUUUGGACACUUAAGCCAUAGCUACCUUUGAGGGCCAGUGUUUUUACAGCUGUGUUUGCUUUUUAAUUACAUGAUCUUUUUUUUUUCUUGUAUUUUCAUUCGCUAAUUUGUGCUCUUUAUAGACAUUAUAAAACAUUUGACGCUUUCAUGUGCCUUGAAUGUACCAGUGUAAAUCAUAUCGUGCUUAUAAGUGUCUUAUAUCAUGUCUGGUGUUUGUUUCAGAGCUCACUGGUACCUCGUGGUGAUCUGUUUCCCUGGAUUAGAAGAGCCACAGUAUGUGAAGAGGGAUGGCAGUGGCUUUGUACAGGGACGGUCUGAGGGUGAGAUCCAUGGAGAGAAUAGAUCCAGCAGUGAUGAGGACAAAGGUAAGAUGUGUCAGUUUUGAAAAAUUUGAAUUAGAAUGCUUUACUACUAAUUUACUGAAGCUUACUACUUUUAAGUAUCGUUUGAUGAUUUUAGACAAACUUUUGUUCUUAAUCUAGAUGACAGUCAUAUAAAGUCAAGCACGUCUGUUCACCUUCCCGUAAGUCAAAAAUAAAAGUUAAUAACUGUCAGGUCUUGCUAGUCAGAAAUCUUUCAUUUGAAAAUUUGAAUUGCUGGAUAGCAUUUGAUUUGAUAUAAUGUUAUGUGGACAGAUAAUUUGCACAUGCACAGUAAUAGCAGAACCUUGUCCCUCUGUAGGACUGUACGGAAAAUACCUGCAAGAGACAAAUUGUGUGUAAAAGGUAUGUGUGUAUUUUUAAAUACUCAAAUGUAUUUUUUUGUCAUAAAGUAGAGAAUUUAGUGUGGGAAAAGAUAAUAAUUUAUAAAUAUAAAUAACUUUGUACUGCAUACAUUACGAUAACAUUAUAAUAGUACUAUAUACCAACAAUGGCAUGUAGGGGGAUAAUCGUUGGCACACGAGCAAUAGGGAAAACUGCAUAUUGACAUACAUUUUGAGGUAAUAACUUCUUAUAGUCACACAGCCUGUUAGGAGCUAUAAAUACUAUUAAAGUGUGAGAAUUAAGUUGCGCUAGUCUACAGAUGCGCGCGCGACCACUGCACAUACUGGCGCUUCAGAUCAAAGCCUUAGCGGUCUAACAGCGCUCAUCAAUGUCAAAAUGACUGAGAUGGCCAAACAAAUCAAAGUAGGCGGGGUUUACAUAAGCAAAACGUUAGUGUCAGUUUAAUGCUAAAGAGAACGAGGUAAGAUGAAGCUGCAAAUCAUUUAAUACUAUUCAACUUUUAACGAUAAGUUUUACGAUAGAAAAUGACAGACAGCUAUAUCCAGUGGUGCAAACUAGGCAAGGCAAGGCAAGUUUAUUUAUAUAGCACAUUUCGUACACAAUGGUAAUUCAAAGUGCUAAUAAUUAAAAUAAAAAAAACAAGCAAUUUUAAAACUUUGAAAAUGAUUUAAAAAUUGACUUGAUGAAUGAAUUUAAAACAGUUAAAAUAGAAAAUGAUUUUACAAAAAAUACAGUGAAUACGUAAGAUACAGUGCAAAACUACUCGAUUUCUUUUUCUCAAAUAUGGCCAUUUUGAGAGGGAGAGAGAGAUAUAUAUGUGUAAAUUGUCUUUAUCUGUUUCUCUCUCUACAAACAAUGAAAAUGAGUUUAGUUACUUUAAAAAACAGCGAUUUUACCCCCCCAUUGGUGAGAAAUAUAAUGUAGCGAUUCGGUAUCAAUUAAUAAAAGUCGCGUGACAGCACCGAGACAAGUUUAUGAGCUUCUGAAUGUUACUUUUGGCAUCUCAGAUCUCUUGUGCGAGUGUUGGGUGGGGUGUGUGUGUGUGUGUGUGUGUGUGUGUGUGUGUGUGUGUGUGUGUGUGUGUGUGUGUGUGUGUGUGUGUGCGCGUCUUUUUAUUUAUAUAUAAUUUUAUUAUGCAGUUAUGGAGGUCUUUCAGAAAACUUUUUUUUUAAUUUUUUAUCUUUUGCCUUUUAAUGGGCAGAACAGUCUAACAGAGUUUAACAUUUUUUUUAACCCUAGAAUUUUUAAGAAUUAUUUUAACUCUAUUUUUUUUUCAGACCAUGUAUUCUCAUCAUGGAUUCCCUGAAGUUGUCUGUUCACGAACGUAUCUUCAAACUCUUGCGAGAGUGAGUGUUUGCACACUUGCUAUAGUCCAACUUAAUCUAACAUUCAUGUUAAGAGUUGUUGUUGUUGCUAUUUUUAUUAUUUGUUUACUAGUAUUAAGUAAAUUAUACUAGUGUAAUAAGAUAAUUUUGCCUGUAGUUUCAGUCUUUAUCUAUAAGUUUUUAUAUAUA
rnacentral:lncRNA from 1 species